rnacentral:lncRNA from 1 species
AUCACUCGCUCAAUGUCUUCAUAAUCCCUGGCCUCCCCUAGUAUAGCAGCAUAACUGCACUGCUCUCCUGGUCACUCAAUCCCUAGGAAGGCGUUAAUGGUGUCAGGAUCAUAACUGGUCAAAUGCCCACGUACAUAGCUCAUGUAUCUCCCUACUGACACUCCUCCCCUAGGCAAGGCGUUGGCGUAGAACUCCUUCACCAACUCAAUACUGGCUGGUGCUAGAUAUGUCGUCAAUCUCUCCCAGCCUCGCCUCUCAAUCUCCAAACCAAACUAUGAAGCUAAGUCAGGCAUGUACAUGGCCUUCCUCUCCAUCAGCAAACGCCUCUCCUAGACUGUAGCAUAAUGUUCUUCAUGUUUCCUUGAAAGGAACCUAGAAGAAUAGAAUCUCCUGGGUCUCUCUGGUUCCUUCCUUUUGUUGCCAAUUGUCUUCACUCUUCUUGAGGUAGACAUUCCUGCAUUAAAUCAAAUACAUCCAACAAUAUUCACAGAAACAUCAUUAGAGUUUAGUGCAUCAUCAAUUCUAUAACUUAGAUCAUACAAUUCUUGAGGAAAAACA